rnacentral:rRNA from 1 species
GACGAACGCUGGCGGCGUGCUUAACACAUGCAAGUCGAACGGAAAGGCCAUGCUUUUGUGGGGUGCUCGAGUGGCGAACGGGUGAGUAACACGUGAGUAACCUGCCCUUGACUGUGGGAUAAAUUCAGGAAACUGGGGCUAAUACAGGAUAGGAGAUCCUGCUGCAUGGUGGGGGUUGGAAAGUUUCGGCGGUGGGGGAUGGAAUCGCGGCUUAUCAGCUGGUUGGGGGGGUAGUGGCUUACCAAGGCUUUGACGGGUAGCCGGCCUUGGAGGGUGACCGGCCUCCUUAGUCCUGAGAUACGGCCCAGACUCCUACGUUAGGCAGCAGUGGGGAAUAUUGCACAAUGGGCGGAAGCCUGAUGCAGCAACGCCGCGUGCGGGAUGACGGCCUUCGGGUUGUAAACCGCUUUCGCCUUUGACGAAGCGUGAGUGACGGUAAUGGGUAAAGAAGCACCGGCUAACUACGUG